UCUGUAAAAAUAAUACAAAUGCAAACGCCAGAGGUUAAAUUCAGGCAAUUUAUUGUAAACAGGAUUACCCUAGCACUCCACCAUACUGGCUGUGUCACAUGCUCUCCCUUCCACAUCAACUAGGCGAAAAGAAGACUUUUUUAAAAAGUCGUAAGUAAUAACUUAGUUUGUUUCCCACAAAUCUCAUUUACUAAGCACUGAGUAAACAGCAGUAUCCGGGAUAGUCUGUUAUUGCUCAUGGACUGCAGCGUGGACCCAUUUCAAUGAAUCCAUUGGUAUGCCUGAGUGAUCCAACAGCAGCUCGAGAUCCGAUGUGGCAACCGGACGAUGCUGGAACACCUUGCACAACAAUCCAGGUUCCUGGAAGACUACAUGAGAUUCCUUUCAGAUUUCUUCAUGUGACUUUCUCAUAAAAAUGACACUGUUAAAUUUCACCCAUUUUUUUUUUUAAAAGAGCUAAAAAUUACUCCAUAGCACAUAAUUCUCCACAGAAAAGGUAGGUGGAUUAUUUACUCUUACAGUGGUGGAUUUAAACACUCAGGGCUAAUUUUAGAUCCCUCUUGUAUAUAUUUGCAGUUUCAUGAAAAGCUGCAUAGUCUACAAAUGCAUAAAACCAGAAGGAAGUGAUGGCUCACGCACCUUCUGAUGGACAAAGACAGGCUUCCCACAAGGAAGCUCCUGCAGAUUAUCCGGGAAAUGGCAAAUGUGAAAACCUAAGGUGUGAAAAGACAUGACUCUACAGAAAGAAGUCCUGGCCAAUCACUCCCGUAGAGGUAAAACUGAUGGAACACUGCAAACCAACUAUGAACAAGAAUGUCAAAAUAAUUCAAUCAGAAAGAAACAAAUCACAGUAAUCCUGAGAAAUUCAGUUUGGGACAAAAUUGAUGUAAGUGAACCAGAAACUAUUAAAGUGGCCGAGGUUGUUUUCCUAGCCCCUGGAAGGCUCAGGGAUGCAUCCUUCUGCACUUUCCCACCCUUGAGGAAUCUUCAGAGUUUUGCAGCCAUGAAGUUAAUAUGUGGUUUCACAAGGGGAAACAGUGGCAAACCACGCUUGAACUCAGUCAUGUUCUGAAUCACUUCAGGCUGCAAAGAAAAAAAGUUCUCUUAGUGUUUAUAGUCUAAAAAAGCAGACUUACUAGGACAUCAACUUUUUUUUUUUUUUUUUUUUCACAUACACACUAGUUUCUACCCCACAUACUAUGAUCUGAUCUUCCUCGAUCAGUAGGGCUGGAGGGUCUAUGCAAACCUACGGUGAGCGUCCCCAGUGGGACCCAGGGCCAGAAAGAAGACGCUUGGCUUUCCUCUGGGCACACAAGGUUAGGACACAAGAGCUGGCACUCAAGUCUCCAGCAGGAUGCAGGGGUUGGUGUACCUACUCAGCAAGGGCCUGGUCACACUGCCAGUUUCCUCCUCCUACCAGUAAAUGCCAACCUUUCCAGAUGAUUAAAAUAUGAUGGCACCAUGGAAGGGGCUAGGUACCGACAUGGCUGAAGAUAACUCUCUGGAGAGCAACAUAACUGUUCAAACUAGAAGCAAAGGCAAACAAGUUCAGAGGCUCAGUCUGUCUGCAGAUGACAAAGGCAUGACCCCUGGAAGCUGUCAGAAUGGCGACCCGGCCUUUAAGGGGAAUGUAGAGGCUCAAACGCCUGGUGACUGGAAACCUCUCGUCUUAGGUGUCCUGAUGAAAAAGCUCCUUCUAAGUAGGAAGUCCUCUAACCAUGUAAUCUAACAUGACAUUUGCAUUUCUUACUUGUGGCAAGGCUGGUGCUUGUGACAAAUUUAUAUCAUUUUGACAUGGGAACUCUCCAACCACAGGACCUAGAAGAAAAUGAAAGGUUUACUGCUUACUUAAUAAAUACUGGCAUACAAGGGCAACUUGAAAAAAAAAUUUGAAACCGGACUUGGCUCAUUAAGAAACUGUACCAGGCCCAUGUCCUCUCAGGCUUCCUGCUCCCUAAGACCUUGACUGCUUGUCCUACUUCCUACCCAGACUGUCCCCAGUGAUGGUUCAUGAUGUUACUGUGGCUAUAAAGCCUUGCCCACAGCAACUUUGGUGCCCAUAUCUGGCCUCACCGGACCCUGAGGCUCUGACCACCAGGAAGGAUCCAGUAAAACAACUCAGAAGGCCAGGGGAGCUAAUGGUUGUGGGGUAAACCUCAGCCACUCAGAGACAGAAGAUGGGAAGGACUGAGCAGAUAAACUGCAUGCAGUGGUCCCACACAGUUUCUUCAAAGAUAUCCUGUGUUUUCUUGAAAAGCUGUGACCAGCUUGGCCACCUACUGCUGGCUCUCUCCUUCACUGCCUCAUUUCCCUUUGCCCCUUAUUUUUGCUUUGAUAGGGCAGACCCUGCCUCCAGUUAGUCCCUUUCUCUACCUCUUUACUCUCUGAUGCUCUAUUAAGGGAUGUGCCAAUGGCAAGGGACAACCAUCAUGUACCUAAAAAUAUACUUUAAAAAAAGUCAACAUUCAAUACUUACAAGAAUCCAUUUCCCUGGCAAGAACAUGGACGGAUACCUUAUGUCUCCUUGGGGCAUCUACUGCCAACAUUUCCUAGGGAGAAAGAACAGCAGGUGACACUUCUGCCCCACUAAGGAACUUAAAAGGAAGUACUCUAUUACGAAUAUCAAGAAUCAGCUCUCACAUAGCCAGAAACAGAAAAGAUGUUUCCCCCCACUUAAGAGUAUUUUCUUUAGGGGCGCCUGGGUGGCUCAGUUGUUAAGCAUCUGCCUUUGGCUCAGGUCAU